AGUGUAAAAUUACACGGCACUGAAUCGAUGCUUUCAACGUAAGUAAGCUCAAUUUAAAAUUGAAAACUGAUAUAAAGCGUUAAAUCACACUUAAAGAGGGUUCAUGUAAACUGAAAUUAAACGUAAUUCAUGUUUGUCAUGUAAAUGACUAUUAAUCUGUUGCCAAAUGACAACUUUUGAAAUUUGAAAAACAUGUAAAUGAUUAUUCAAUGUAAAAAAUGCUCAAUGUAAAAGUUUCAGGCACAUAACUUUCAAUUGAAACAUUGGUUGUUGCUGUCAAUGACAGAUCAACAUAAUCAACGAUUGAGUGGAAUGGUGCGGAAGUGUUUUGUAGAUAAAUUGUUCAGUUUUGAUGAUUAAGGAUGCUAGUGAUAGUGUUUGUGUUGUUCGUACAGGUACAAACAAUAAUCGAUUGCAAAAAGAAUCGGGGUUUCAAAAGCUGGAAAAAACUGGCUGACAAAAUCAAAACAAAGCAAUUUUAGCUGGAAGUAAUAAAGUAUUUCACAGAUUCUGCUGUAAAUAAAACAUGACAAUCUGAUUCGGAGACGAUCGGUCCAGAGGAUGUAAACAAACGUUGCGGAUUGAGGAGCAGAAGAACAGCGGAAGUUUGCAUCAGCAGGAGACUCAACAAGUUUUAUCACUAUCAAUCCACAAGGUUUGUUGACAUCCGUGCGGACGCGUCCAAACCUGAACAUUUAUCCUGGAAGCGGUUCUUUCCUAUGCAAUCGGGUUCAGUUAUCUGGCUGCGUCUCGGUUUGGCAGAUUGUGGUAAGGUAUUACGGUUGAAUUACAGCAGUACACCUGUGGGUACGUAAAUUUCUAUUAGAUUGUAACUUACGAAAUAUCCUAUUUUGUUAUCCACAGCUGCAGUUUAUCAAGCUUACAGUAGGAGCUUUCUAGUCAGCAACCUUGACCUCUGGAGCGGCUGCAAGGACUUCCGUCGUAGUGGCAAAUUCAUCCUGAAAAGCAUCCCCAUCGGUCGCAGUAUUUUGGUGGUGCCUUCCGUUCCGUUCGCUGGAACAACCGGAACUGCUAGUUUUGCCGGUUCCAUAUUAACUGCGUCUUCAGAAACGGAAUCGGCGCUGCUCUUCUCGGUUUGUUCAGCACGGGUUCCACAGCAACCUUUUUCAUGGAGUUCAUGAUGAUCCGGAUGGCGAAGGAGGUCGAAUCAAUUUUCGCCAAGAGCAAACGCUUUCAGGGCCUGAUGACAAAACCACUGGUCAAGGUGGACGACUUUGUUCUGCUUAAGUUCUACUCGAUCGCGUUUGCUGUUUGUGUUCCUCAGCUACGCCAAGUGGUGAUACAUGUACAAGGUGGUCAACUUCUCCGUUCCUAACGUGACCGUUCCGUCGGCGCCGGUCAAACCGAUGCAAAAAAAAAAAACGGAAUAAGCAUCACUCACUAGAAAAGCAUACUAAGUCACAACAAAUUUUCGGGAAAAAUCCUCACAUUUACACGCUUAUGAUAGAUACGGUAAUUCAUUCAGUGUUUACAUGGUUUAAACCUACAAUUAUAAGUAAAAAAUAAGUACUUUUCUAUAACCGUGCACGGAUUUUUCUAAUUCCCUUGCAACGUGUAGGAAUGAUUUGUUUUGAUUUUGCCAGAGCACUUUUCAGUUGGCCGCCUACCACCCACCCGCCUGCUGCGAUUGCAUUUUUUUUGUUUACGUGGGUGUCGGGUUUCUUUUUGAUUUUUCCUGAUGUUUAAUUUUUGUCAGUACAAGUAGUUUUGCAACCGUCGAAUUAUUAUUCUUCUGCUUCUCCUGUCGCGCUUCACGGUAGUUUUUGUGUGAUUGUUGUUUGUGUCUGAAAAUCCGAGUAAUGAAGGAGCAAAUCCGGACAAAUGUGAUAACGUUGUAACCGUCGGUAAGAGGAAUCUAAGCCUCAAGCCGCAUCUUAUCAGCAGUGGUAUCUGUGAGGGAGUUCCAAAUCAGCGUGGGCAAAAACAUUCUGGAGUCAGAAUCGGCUGGCUGGCUGUUUUGGUGUUGCUGUCACCAGGCUUCACCGCGGCUCAGCUGGUACCCUCAAAUGUUCUAUAAAUCCUGCCUCAACAGUCAACCGUCGCCAUCUGGACGUAUUAUAUUCAAUCCGUUUCAUCUGAAACCGGCUAUAGUCGCGUUCCGGCGAACGGCCAAUGUGUACGUGGCUGAUAACUCUGCUGCUCGAGGCUGUGGUCUAGGGAAAAGCUGGAGUUAUUGAUAACGCACAGCGCUGAAGCUUCCAAAAAACCGCAACGAAUCAUCUGGAUUAAGAUCAGACGACUAGGUCGUGUCGAUCUACUGCUGGACGCCGUAACUUGCUCGCCCACGACGCCGAUCCAUUUGUCGGGGACCUCAAAUACUUGCAGCAAUGACUACACUACUCAGUUGGUUUUAGUUCCACAGGUGAUUAUAGUAGUAUUUACUAAAUUAAAUACAAUUUCGGAAAUAAUAAUGUCUUUAGUUGCAGCUCUCGGUUUGAUGUUGACAAAAGUCCAAGGUUCUGAAUCAAGCAAAGCCGGCGUGGGAUUGCAUGCUUCAGCUGGUCAUCCGUGACCGCCUUUCGCACAAGUCUGUAAUUGGAGCAUUUCAUUGGACCACCUGGAGUGCAAACAGAUCAUGAUGGACAUCCUCGCCCAAAUGGGGUACGCACAUCUGCAACAGGUGGACGUGUCGGCUGAAGGCUUUCGUAUCAACUUAAUUCCAACAUUGUUUUCAUAAAUGUAAGCACUCAACGUUAUUUAUUUCUUUUAAAAUCCCGCAGAGCUAAAAUCACAAUCUACAUUCUCAGUGAGCCAGCACGUUUCGUGUUAUUUCAUAUCGCUCCGUUGAAUUUUAAAUCUGAUACUUAUUUUCUUGCUAUCAGCUCAUAGUAGUUUGGAAUGAUUUACUUUUGUGUCUUAAAAAGAUAACAAAAGUUCACCGUUUCAACCAACGUUGAGCUUCUGAAGCAUUUGAAAUUUACAUCAGAUUCAAAAUUCAACGGGGUAAAAAAAAUUUGGGAUCGGUAAAAUUA